GAAUCACUUCUGCGGCAGACUCCACCUCCUAAUUCCACUCCCUGGCGAUUAAGCUCCAGCACAGGAACUUGCGUGUGGCAGGAACACAUUCCAACCACGUCAAACAUACAGCAAAAAGCAGUGAGUCAGCUACUGUGUGACAAAAGCAAACACAUAGAAGGUGUGAAAGGACAGGUAAGAUUUACUUCUUUGAUACUGGUAAGUGCUUCAAACCCUACUAAAAAGGACAAGAUAAGAAACACUGGUGAACAGCCUGUGGAUCUGAAAUGCAAAUGUCUUCCAUCCCACAAGCCUUUAGAAGCAUCUAUCAGGCACCCUGCUCUGGGCCCAGUGCUGAGGCUCUGAUGUUGACUAAGACAAACCGGAUUCCUGCUGCCUUGGUCACAGACAGAAAGUAGACAAAUAGGGGCUGGGGAGUUAGCUCAGCGGCAAAGCGCCUGCCUGGCAAGCGCAAGGUCGUGAGUUCGGUUCCCGGUACCAGAGAAAAAAUAAAAAAAAAAAAAAAAAGAAAAAGAAAGUAGACAAAUAAAAAAGAAAAUUUUCAGAUACUGACCAUUACAAGAAAUUGUAAGCUGGUUACGGUGACAUCCUAGCACUCUGGGGGGCUGGGGGAGAAUCAAAAGUUC
rnacentral:lncRNA from 1 species